UCCGAAUUGGUGUAGUGGCUAACAUUUGACGCUCUCAAAACUUGUCAUACAGUGUCACAUCUUGUGGUGUUGUUGAUAGAAGUGCCGUCAAGCCCGGGGUUCGAUUCCCCGAUUCGGAG